GCCCCGUUCGUCUAUCGGUCAGGACGCCGGCCUUUCACGCCGGUAAGGCGGGUUCGAUUCCCGCACGGGGUA
rnacentral:tRNA from 1 species